CAGAGAGAGAUGAGCAGGGGAAGCAAAGUAUGAUUCUAAGCAAAAACACCAUUGAAUGUUUUGCUUUAUUGCUAAUCCAGAUGUGCCAUAUGUUGUGAUGUUGGGUAGUCAAGGGCAACAAGUACAAGGGGAGCAUUUGCCUUUAGCAUUGGCGUGUAAUGAUCGGCUGAAUUCUGACCGAGAGAGAUUAUGUUUUUUUCUUUUCUGCCUGUUUGUCGACAUUGCCUAGCUGGAACAUAAAUACUCUAUUGUGUCAAUGCCUAGGUGAAGUAAUAAAGUAUUCGGGUCAAGGUAUCAAGAGUGCGAUGGAAGGGUAAAAUGCUGUUUUACCACUGUUCGGGAACUGGUUCAUGGAGAUGACAGAGCAAUAAGAAAGAAAAAUGAAAAUAAAGAGGGCAAAGCUGAAUCAUGUUCACUUCAGGAAUGUUGGAACUAGCUCUACCACAACCUACCAAUGACUUUGCUCUGUUCUGAAGAGGUAGCCCACUUUAAUUCAUGACAAUAGUUGCAUUCUCUUAUCUAAAGUUUUUUGCUGUUACCUUCCUAAAUUUGUCCUUUUGUUUAAAAUCUCAAUCUUCCCUAUAUAGUUGCAUUCUCUUCUUUUCUACUAUCUUCUCUUCUCUUAGUUAAUUACUGUAGCUAUUGUUUUAUGACAUAUAUGACACGAAUUCUAUAAACUUUAUAGAAGGCCAUCCCAACUUCAUAUAUACUUUUAGUACCAUGUUUUUUUCCAUUUAAUUGAAAUGCCUAAGCUUGCCACUAACAUGUUUUAUUUUAUGGAAAAAACAAUGACAAUGGUUAUUAAAAAACUCGACCUGCGAGGGGCAAGCCGCCCUCCGAGCAUUAACGUAAGAAGAAGACCUCUCACGCAGGUCGAGAAAACCCCCGGACCCCUGCCCCACCCUUAGGGGCGCCAUAACCUAUACUGUAACCCGUGUGAGAGCGGGCCGGGGUGAGCCGGGACCUAUUUCCAUGUGCUUUGGUGUGUAGGCAGGCGAGGGGAUUUUUUUAACCUCAGCCUGAAAUUCGCUCCUACCGGGAGUCGAACUCAGGACCUGAGGAGUGCUACUGAGGCCACCUAACCAAUCCGACUAGGCACCCUUUCGCAAUGACAAUGGUUAUUGUCGGUGAUUUUAGCUCUCGCUGUAGUUUUCAGAUAUGUAUCUUUAUUUCAAAGUGCACUAUUUUUUUUCUCUGAGAUGACUGAUGGGGAUUCAUCUAUCUUCAUAAAAAUUGGUAUUUGUUUCUAUGUAUUUCUUUUAAUUAUUCACAGUACUACAAUGACUAGGUUACUAGGUUAGUUAUCUGCACCUUUGUCUGAAUUCUUAUGAAUAUAUAAGCUUUAUGUCAUUACAAACUUAUUCAAAAAAAUUUAGUCUCUUCUGAUUCUUAGCUAUUGCUUGAUAUUCCUUUUUUAGUUUCUUUAAAUAGCUGCUGGUUUCACAGAAAAAAAAUAGCUGCUGGUUACCUGGUAAAUGUAAAUUUAUUCAGUAAGGUUAGUUUUUUUUUCUUUAGAAUUUUAGGAAUGCUCAAGAUUCUGUCAAACGGUUACCUAAAUCGUGAGGUUUUGGAUCCAGAUCCCCUAUCCAAAUUCGUACUUGUUAAUAGAUGCACUGAAGUGAGAAAUAAGUAUACUCUACCAUGGGUCCAUUCUAUUUGUUAUUCUUGUGAAUCAAAUGUUAUUCAAUCAGAGUUGUAUGUUGGAAUUCUUUCUGUCUUAUUACUCUCAUGAUCCAUGUGUUAUUCUGAACACCAGCCAAUUAUCUACCCAUGCCACAUUCAUUUCUUGAAAGCUCUUUCCAGACUACAGAGUCCAAGCUAAAGACCAAAUUCUGAAAGUGGCACAGGUGAAGCUUCAGGACAGCAGAUUGCUUUUUUUUUAGAACAGAUAGCCGAUGACAGCAGAUUGCUUGAAAGAAGCAUCCCUGAUAUCACACUUCUGACCGAGAUUAGGAUUUUAUUUUCAGUGAUCUUCACUUCAGAGCGUGAGGGGAAAGAAAGACUGUUCUUUGAUGGGAAUAUGCUAGAUUAUAAUUUUCAAUCAACCUUGCAAUAAGGAAUACACAUCAGUCAGGCUUGGGGUGACCACUUCAUGGAGGCUCGCUCGUUUCAUGUGUCAAGAUUCCUUAAGCUAACAUACUAUAUUUGAUGAAAAUAGUUUUUUUUACACCAAGAGUGAACGAUUAUAUUGCUGGUGAUCCUCUAUCUAAUAAUGUAAUGAAAAUGUAAGUAAGUCAAGUUCCGUAGAAUUAUAAUUAUAUUUGAAAGUCAGUCAAGCAUGUCUGAGCUUUUUUUUAAUGAGAGAGAUAAAUGUACAGGAAGCUAUUUAUAUUUUCAAAUGAGCUAUAUAUAUAUAUA